GGCACCACUGUACAUUGUUCAUUCACACAGGAAAAAUCCUGCACAGCCACCCACCCUUCUAAGAUUAUCCAGCCUUCUAAAAGCAUACAAUAAUAUAAUUAGACAAGAAUAAUUAGCAAGGCAUUGCAAAGUUCAGUGCAGAUGUCCACGUGCUGCUUUUAAGCUAAAUCUGCUAUUUCCUGCAGUAAUGAUUGGGCAAAUGAUUUGGAGUGCUCCAGUAUCUUCUUUCGGAGUAAUUUAAGUUGUGUUUUCCUUGGCGCUUCUCCUGAAGCUAACGUACCUUGUGUUUUCAGUGUUCUUUAAUACUUAGCUUUGGAGCAUACGGAAGGACUUCUCGGUGUCCUUCCUGCACGUCUUCUCCAAAGUGACCCUAGGAGUCAAUCCUUUGUGGCUGACUCACUUCCUUUCAUCGUCAUUGACUCCAAUCAGCAAAAAGGGCGAGAGGGCUUCUCAUUCAGUGGUUAAAAAGCUCUCCUUUCAUGCUGGACUGGUGGCUCUAGGAUGCUGGAAACAGGGCCCCUGCCACAGAAAUAGAAAUGGGACUUUAAGCCCAUCCCGCAACCCUGUGGCACUACACCUCAGCCUCAGAUUAUAUGUAAAAGGAACAAGCCCAUACAUCAUCAGACACUCUGUUCUAGAGGCAACUUCCCAAAGGUCCAUUUGAACCACAUUUGCUUUGCUCGUCGCUUUAAGACAUACACUGCUUUCCAUCUCUGCUCAGGGUCUGGAAAAUAUUACAUGUUCCUUUUUGGCAGUGAUGAAAUAAACAACAAUUCACUCUGGACUUGAUAGCUGCUUAAUUUCGCUGCAAAGCAAUUAUGGAGGCUAAUGGAUUCCUUGCAGGGUUUGCACUCUUAGGAUCUGUGCUGUUAACGCCAGUGUUUGAGGUUUAUCCUCUUGUCUGUUUGACCUCAUAAGAAAAAACCCUACCAGAUUUCAUCAUGUUUAAUUAUUAAAGUAACCCUUUGGGAUGCCAGUUAGGAUUUUGGACAUGACUUUGGGUAAGUGCUUCUCUUGGUGUUAAUUAGAAAAGUUGACUCUGCCAAAUAACUUCCAGCACAAAUAGCUACUGUUGUCUAACAGCCUGCACAUGGGAUUGAUACUUAUACACUGAAGACAACUUACUUUUCCAUCUUUUGCAGGUUAGGUCAGAAUGAGGCCCCACUGAAUCCUUUCCUCCCUGGAAAGGGUGCAUAGAACGGCAACGUUACAGAGCUGCCCUGCCUCUUUCUUCCCAAGCACAUUGUCAUUUGGGUUGAGUCUCUUUUCCACCUGUUAAAUUUUAGAGGGUCUGUUUCUGUUUGCAUUGGGGCAGGAAGCGUUGCAGCACCUGUGGCUUUCCUAAAGAGAGAAACAAGGACGUGAAAAUGAAGGGAGGCAUGGCAACAAGAUGGAAUAGCAGGCCCCUAAAAGUUCUGAAGAAACAUCCAUACUCGGGAGGAACAAGGCACCCUGAGCAGAUCCAUCUCUAUGAAAAUUAUCUUCGCCAUCAGGAUCACCAGGAAAUCUUUAAAUUGAUGCUGAGGGACCUCCUUUCAGAGGCCCCAACCAUCAAGACAUUACCGUGCAUGUUGAAGUGAAUGUGUUGAUGGCGUGACAUUAUGUCUCAUUUCAGCAGAGUGGCUCACCCCUCCAACCCGUGUUUCGCCAGCAGAAUCACCCACAGUUCACCCCUUGGGUCCUUCCACUGCCGGCAGGCAAGCUGAACACCCUGGAGACUUCUGGACUAGCACGCUCCAUGACUGGUCGUAGUCUGUGCUCCUGUUUUCUUGAGACAGAUGAAGUUGCAAGAUGAGAGAAAAAGGGGGAGCAGCUGAAGGCGAAGUUGCCCCGACGCCCAAGUGGAGAUCUUGGGAGGCAAAAGUUCCAGGCGGCGCAGCAAGGGGUUUCCCCUCCCCAAAUUUGAACAAAACUGAGAACUGAACAAAGAGUAGAGGGGAGAACCUCCGCACUCUGAAUGAAAUGCACUCUCACUUGCCAACGCCUUGAAACCCGAGCGAACAGCACUGGUCUACUCUGCAAAAAUAGGGAAUUAAAAAUCAACCAACUGCAUCCCAAUAGCAAGCAAAAAGCAAGGAGCAAAGAGGUAUGUGAAGGGGAUGGCAGCAACCACGAAAUAACAAUGAAAAGUGAGGGAAGGAUUAAGGGGGUAUACCUCAAUGCAGUUGUUCCACAUCCUCUCCUGAAUCUACAGAUCCAUCUCUAUGAAAAUGAUCUUCGCCAUCAGGAUCACCAAGAAAUCUUUAAAUUGAUGCUGAGGGGCUUCCUUUCAGAGGCCCCAACCAUCAAGACAUUACCAUGCAUGUUGAGGUGAAUGUGUUGAUGGUGUGAUGUUACGUCUCAUUUCAGCAGAGCCGGCAGGGAGGCUCACCCAUCGUUCAGUCCUUGGGUCCUUCCACUGCCGGCAGGCAAAGCUGAACGCCCUGGAACAGCACUAGCCCACAUAUCUGACAAGGGAUCUCUCUCUCCUGGUGUGCAAGAGGGAUGGUGGCCUUGAUUCUGCGGGGCUUUUUCCUCCUAUAGAGCUGAGCCUUUGCAUGACAACAAGCUGAGGAGAAGAGGGACCUGGCUGUCAGCAGCAUCCAAUAUCUGCUGGCAUGUGAAGGGAAGUUUCCCAACCUGAUCUUACUCAUCUCACCUUCAUUCCCUUAUUUCAAAUAGUUUGAGGACAAAUGACACCAGAGGUGGGUGCAGCAUGGUCUCCCUGUGGGGCCAUGAUGGUUCAGGUGGCAUUUUUUGCCCUCCCUCUUGGUGAUGCCCUUUGGCCUCUGCCCACUAGGCAACAGAGCCCAUAGAGCAGGCAUCCCCAAACUCAGCCCUCCAGAUGUUUUGGGACUACAAUUCCCAUCAUCCCUGACCAUUGGUCCUGUUAGCUAGGGAUGAUGGAAGUUGUAGUCCCAAAACAUCUGGAGGGCCAAGUUUGCCUAUGCCUGCCAUAGAGUUUCCUUUGAGGUAAAGGAGUGGAGCUGAACAUCUGGAUCUCACUUAGUUCUGCUUAGGAUUUCUCUUGUACCAGCUCUCUGGGCUGGGCUGCCAGCUGCUGUGUUGAUGUGCAGGUUUUUGUAUGAAAAUACAAUGAACUCAGUUCUGGUGUUGCAAAUAAUUCAUUGGGCUGAGCAGGUGCUUAGAGGCACUCUGUUCUUAUAGCUAUCUGUGUAUGUCUGCUCCCACUCUGUGUGUCAGUUUUGCACCUGGUUUGGGUUGGAACGUGGGGGGAGUUACAGUAAAAUGCAAAGCCAAGGCUGAAGUCUGCCCGUCCCUGUUAGGAAGAAUAAACUGUUUCAAGUGUUAUAAAUAGCAA